GGCGGCGUGCUUAACACAUGCAAGUCGAACGAGAAAGCUCCUUCGGGAGUGAGUACAGUGGCGAACGGGUGCGUAACACGUUGGUGACCUGCCUUGAGGAGGGGGACAACGUGGGAAACCACGGCUAAUACCCCNGGAUGUCUAAACUGUUAGAGGGUUUAGACUAAAACUUCGGUGCCUCAAGAGGGGCCUGCGGGCUAUCAGCUUGUUGGUGGGGUAAUGGCCUACCAAGGCUAAGACGGCUAGGGGGCGUGAGAGCGCGACCCCCCACAAUGGAACUGAGACACGGUCCAUACUCCUACGGGAGGCAGCAGUGAGGAAUAUUGCGCAAUGGGGGAAACCCUGACGCAGCAACGCCGCGUGAACGAUGAAGGCCUUCGGGUCGUAAAGUUCUUUUCUAAGGGAAGAUAGUGACGGUACCUUAGGAAUAAGUCCCGGCUAACUACGUGCCAGCAGCCGCGGUAAAACGUAGGGGGCGAGCGUUAUCCGGAUUUAUUGGGCGUAAAGCGCACGUAGGUGGCGCUGUAAGUUAGACGUGAAAGCUCUCGGCUCAACUGAGAGAGGUCGUUUAAAACUGCAGUGCUUGAGGUUAGAAGAGGAGAGCAGAAUUCCCGGUGUAGUGGUGGAAUGCGUAGAUAUCGGGAGGAAUACCAGUGGCGAAGGCGGCUCUCUAGUCUACACCUGACACUGAGGUGCGAAAGCGUGGGUAGCGAACGGGAUUAGAUACCCCGGUAGUCCACGCUGUAAACGAUGGAUACUAGGCGUAGGGGGUCAUUUAACCCCUCUGUGCCGAAGCAAACGCGUUAAGUAUCCCGCCUGGGGACUACGGCCGCAAGGUUAAAACUCAAAGGAAUUGACGGGGGCCCGCACAAGCAGCGGAGCGUGUGGUUUAAUUCGAUGAUACGCGAAGAACCUUACCUGGGCUGAACUACGUGGUAGUAGUGAAGCGAAAGCGGAUCGACCCUUCGGGGAGCCUCGAUAGGUGCUGCAUGGCUGUCGUCAGCUCGUGUCGUGAGAUGUUGGGUUAAGUCCCGCAACGAGCGCAACCCUCGUCGCUAGUUACAAGUGUCUAGCGAGACUGCCGGUAUCAAACCGGAGGAAGGUGGGGAUGACGUCAAGUCAGCAUGGUCUUUAUGUCCAGGGCUACACACACGCUACAAUGGUCGGUACAAUAGGUUGCCACACCGCGAGGUGGAGCUAAUCCUCAAAGCCGAUCUCAGUUCGGAUUGUAGUCUGCAACUCGACUACAUGAAGGCGGAGUUGCUAGUACCGCGCGUCAGCAUAGUGCGUGAUGCGUUCCCGGCUGUACACACCGCCCGUCACAUCAUGGGAGUCGUACACCUGAAGUCGGUGACCUAACCGAAAGGG
rnacentral:rRNA from 1 species